rnacentral:rRNA from 1 species
AGGGAUGUACAUUGUGGGGCCUGCUCGCACUUCACCGCGCUGAGUGAUGAAGGGCGUUCUGUGUUGUAAAUGCUCUGUCUUUUGAGGCACCGAUAAUGACGGUACCAAAGGAGGAAGCCACGGCUAACUACGUGCCAGCAGCCGCGGUAAUACGUAGGUGGCAAGCGUUGUCCGGAUUUACUGGGCGUAAAGAAUGCGUAGGCGGAUACUUAAGUCAGAUGUGAAAUACCCGGGCUCAACUUGGGUGCUGCAUUUGAAACUGGGUGUCUAGAGUGCGGGAGAGGAAAGUGGAAUUCCUAGUGUAGCGGUGAAAUGCGUAGAGAUUAGGAAGAACACCAGUGGCGAAGGCGACUUUCUGGACCGUAACUGACGCUGAGGCAUGAAAGCGUGGGGAGCAAACAGGAUUAGAUACCCUGGUAGUCCACGCCGUAAACGAUGGGUACUAGGUGUAGGGGGUAUCGACUCCCCUCUGUGCCGCAGUUAACACAAUAAGUACCCCGCCUGGGGGAGUACCGGCCGCAAUGAUUAAAACUCAAACGAAAUCUGA